GAUCAGGUGUAUGACAGUAACAACCCCACUCCUCGAACCAGGUGUCUGCACUAAUUACUCUUCCUCAUUGUUAUUACCUGGUGAAAAUCAAUUUGAGAAAGGAAGGGUUUAUUUGGGUUUACCAUCCAUGAGGCAUGCCAACAAGAGCAUCCAUGAGGCAUGACAACAAGAGUGUUAGGCAGCUUGUCACAAUGUGUGCAGUGAAGAAGAGCCAAGUCUUCCCACAUACAUAAUGAAAAUUGGAAGAACCCAAGUGCCCAUCUCUGGAUCAAUAUGUGAUGAUGAAAUUUAAUAACAUGCUACCUACAUUUAAGUCUAAGAAAGUCAAAAGUUUAUUAACCACAGUCAUUGUGUCCUAGAAGAAAAUACACAAAUAUUUUGUCACUUUAUGAGCCUAAUGACAAGACAUUAUCUCUAACCUCCAGAACAUUCAAAAUUGUGAUUGAGGAACACUAGGGCUGAAGAUGUGAAUUGGGUGAGAAUUAAAGAUAAUCUGUACUUGUUUUUCACGGCGAA
rnacentral:lncRNA from 1 species